UACGUAGGGUGCGAGCGUUGUCCGGAAUUACUGGGCGUAAAGAGCUCGUAGGUGGUUUGUCGCGUUGUUCGUGAAAACUCACAGCUCAACUGUGGGCGUGCGGGCGAUACGGGCAGACUAGAGUACUGCAGGGGAGACUGGAAUUCCUGGUGUAGCGGUGGAAUGCGCAGAUAUCAGGAGGAACACCGGUGGCGAAGGCGGGUCUCUGGGCCGAUACUGACGCUGAGGUGCGAAAGCGUGGGGGAGCAAACAGG
rnacentral:rRNA from 1 species